ensembl:lncRNA
AAAAAAACAAAAGAAGAAGUUCAUAGGAAGAAGUAGUAGAUGGUCACAGGUCAUGAGCCGGUAUGGUGAUUGUGGAAGGAAGGAGAGAGAGAGAAGGAAGGUACACUGGAUUAGAGUAAGGUCACCAGAGAAAGAGGUCACAGUCACAAAGACAAACAACAAGAUUUCAGAAUCCAUCAGCCAGAUGACACUGAGUGAAGUGUGAUGUAAUGGAUUCUACCAGGAAGGCUGCUAAAGCUAACCAACCAAACCUUGAUCCCCUGUCUUUCAGAGGCAAUAUGCAGUAACUAUGCCAACACUGAAGAAAGAAAACUGGCUUUAAAGUUUUUGAUUAAAUUCAUAUCAAAUUUCACACUCCAUUAUCUUUGGAUAUGAGAAGAGUUGAGCUAAAGCUGCCUGUCACAGGACAGAUAAGGGUCUAAAAGACCUUCUGUGGCCAGUUACAUAAACUGCAUAGACUAGUCUCAUAAAUCAUAUAAUUUUGACUGGUCAUAACCUUUUAAAUAAUUUACAUAAAACAUAAAAUGGCCUAAUUUGAAUCUGAAAACUAUAAGACCCCC